rnacentral:rRNA from 1 species
UACAGAGGGUGCAAGCGUUGUUCGGAAUUAUUGGGCGUAAAGGGCGCGUAGGCGGUGCUAUAAGUCUGUGGUGAAAUCUCUGGCUCAACUCAGAGUCUGCCAUAGAAACUGUAGUGCUAGAGUGUGGGAGAGGUGAGUGGAAAUUCCCGGUGUAGCGGUGAAAAUGCGUAGAUAUCGGGAGGAACACCUGUGGCGAAAGCGGCUCACUGGACCACAACUGACGCUGAGGCGCGAAAAGCUAGGGGAGCAAACAGGGAUUAGAUACCCUGACGUACCAGUAGCAA